rnacentral:rRNA from 1 species
UACGUAGGGCGCAAGCGUUAUCCGGAAUUAUUGGGCGUAAAGAGCUCGUAGGCGGUUUGUCGCGUCUGCCGUGAAAGUCCGGGGCUCAACUCCGGAUCUGCGGUGGGUACGGGCAGACUAGAGUGAUGUAGGGGAGACUGGAAUUCCUGGUGUAGCGGUGAAAUGCGCAGAUAUCAGGAGGAACACCGAUGGCGAAGGCAGGUCUCUGGGCAUUAACUGACGCUGAGGAGCGAAAAGCAUGGGGAGCGAAACAGGG